UGCAAGAGCCGGCUUGCUGGAGAGGAACCAUACUGCGGUAUCCUAGAAAUACCGCGUCGCCUCUAUCGCCAGCAAGCCGGCUCCCACA
rnacentral:misc_RNA from 1 species